GAUGAACGCUGGCUUCGUGCCUAAUACAUGCAAGUCGAGCGAACGGACGAGAAGCUUGCUUCUCUGAUGUUAGCGGCGGACGGGUGAGUAACACGUGGAUAACCUACCUAUAAGACUGGGAUAACUUCGGGAAACCGGAGCUAAUACCGGAUAAUAUUUUGAACCGCAUGGUUCAAAAGUGAAAGACGGUCUUGCUGUCACUUAUAGAUGGAUCCGCGCUGCAUUAGCUAGUUGGUAAGGUAACGGCUUACCAAGGCAACGAUGCAUAGCCGACCUGAGAGGGUGAUCGGCCACACUGGAACUGAGACACGGUCCAGACUCCUACGGGAGGCAGCAGUAGGGAAUCUUCCGCAAUGGGCGAAAGCCUGACGGAGCAACGCCGCGUGAGUGAUGAAGGUCUUCGGAUCGUAAAACUCUGUUAUUAGGGAAGAACAUAUGUGUAAGUAACUGUGCACAUCUUGACGGUACCUAAUCAGAAAGCCACGGCUAACUACGUGCCAGCAGCCGCGGUAAUACGUAGGUGGCAAGCGUUAUCCGGAAUUAUUGGGCGUAAAGCGCGCGUAGGCGGUUUUUUAAGUCUGAUGUGAAAGCCCACGGCUCAACCGUGGAGGGUCAUUGGAAACUGGAAAACUUGAGUGCAGAAGAGGAAAGUGGAAUUCCAUGUGUAGCGGUGAAAUGCGCAGAGAUAUGGAGGAACACCAGUGGCGAAGGCGACUUUCUGGUCUGUAACUGACGCUGAUGUGCGAAAGCGUGGGGAUCAAACAGGAUUAGAUACCCUGGUAGUCCACGCCGUAAACGAUGAGUGCUAAGUGUUAGGGGGUUUCCGCCCCUUAGUGCUGCAGCUAACGCAUUAAGCACUCCGCCUGGGGAGUACGACCGCAAGGUUGAAACUCAAAGGAAUUGACGGGGACCCGCACAAGCGGUGGAGCAUGUGGUUUAAUUCGAAGCAACGCGAAGAACCUUACCAAAUCUUGACAUCCUUUGACAACUCUAGAGAUAGAGCCUUCCCCUUCGGGGGACAAAGUGACAGGUGGUGCAUGGUUGUCGUCAGCUCGUGUCGUGAGAUGUUGGGUUAAGUCCCGCAACGAGCGCAACCCUUAAGCUUAGUUGCCAUCAUUAAGUUGGGCACUCUAAGUUGACUGCCGGUGACAAACCGGAGGAAGGUGGGGAUGACGUCAAAUCAUCAUGCCCCUUAUGAUUUGGGCUACACACGUGCUACAAUGGACAAUACAAAGGGCAGCGAAACCGCGAGGUCAAGCAAAUCCCAUAAAGUUGUUCUCAGUUCGGAUUGUAGUCUGCAACUCGACUACAUGAAGCUGGAAUCGCUAGUAAUCGUAGAUCAGCAUGCUACGGUGAAUACGUUCCCGGGUCU
rnacentral:rRNA from 1 species